UACGAAGGGGGCUAGCGUUGCUCGGAAUGACUGGGCGUAAAGGGCGCGUAGGCGGAUUGCUUUGUCGGGCGUGAAAUUCCAGGGCUUAACCUUGGGGCUGCGUUCGAGACGGGUGAUCUUGAGUAUGGAAGAGGGUCGUGGAAUUCCCAGUGUAGAGGUGAAAUUCGUAGAUAUUGGGAAGAACACCGGUGGCGAAGGCGGCGACCUGGUCCAAGACUGACGCUGAGGCGCGAAAGCGUGGGGAGCAAACAGG
rnacentral:rRNA from 1 species